GUACAGUAGUUUUUAUUUUUUGAUUAAAGAGAAAUGCUCGAUCGUUAGAUUUAACGAAGAAAAUCGGAACCCAAUACGUUAGGGCUCAAUUUCCUUGAAAAUCCU
rnacentral:sRNA from 1 species